rnacentral:rRNA from 1 species
UUAUUGGGCGUAAAGCGAGCGCAGGCGGUUUAAUAAGUCUGAAGUUAAAGGCAGUGGCUUAACCAUUGUUCGCUUUGGAAACUGUUAAACUUGAGUGCAGAAGGGGAGAGUGGAAUCCAUGUGUAGCGGUGAAAUGCGUAGAUAUAUGGAGGAACACGGUGGCGAAAGCGGCUCUCUGGUCUGUAACUGACGCUGAGGCUCGAAAGCGUGGGGAGCAAACAGGGUUAGAUACCCUGGUAGUCCACGCCGUAAACGAUGAGUGCUAGGUGUUAGGCCCUUUCCGGGGCUUAGUGCCGCAGCUAACGCAUUAAGCACUCCGCCUGGGGAGUACGACCGCAAGGUUGAAACUCAAAGGAAUUGACGGGGGCCCGCACAAGCGGUGGAGCAUGUGGUUUAAUUCGAAGCAACGCGAAGAACCUUACCAGGUCUUGACAUCCCAGUGACCGCUCUAGAGAUAGAGUUUUUCUUCGGAACACUGGUGACAGGUGGUGCAUGGUUGUCGUCAGCUCGUGUCGUGAGAUGUUGGGUUAAGUCCCGCAACGAGCGCAACCCUUAUUGUUAGUUGCCAUCAUUCAGUUGGGCACUCUAGCGAGACUGCCGGUAAUAAACCGGAGGAAGGUGGGGAUGACGUCAAAUCAUCAUGCCCCUUAUGACCUGGGCUACACACGUGCUACAAUGGUUGGUACAACGAGUCGCAAGUCGGUGACGGCAAGCAAAUCUCUUAAAGCCAAUCUCAGUUCGGAUUGUAGGCUGCAACUCGCCUACAUGAAGUCGGAAUCGCUAGUAAUCGCGGAUCAGCACGCCG